rnacentral:tRNA from 1 species
GCGAUUGUAGCUCAGUUGGUUAGAGUGUCGGUUUGUGGUACCGAAAGUCGCGGGUUCGAGUCCCGUCAAUCGCCCCA